rnacentral:sRNA from 1 species
AAGUAUGAAGUGAAGAAGUGGAUUAAGAUUGUGACAUCAACGAUGGCUUUACAUAAUUAUAUACGAGAUUCACAACAAGAAGAUAGUGAUUUUAGGCAUUGGGAAAUAGUUGAAUCAUAUGAGCAGCAUGGUGAUGAAAAUGAUGGGCAUGUUCCAUAUGUGCCUACUGGUGACAGAGUAAUGGAGAAUAUACGAGAUUCCAUCACUACAGAGAUGGCCAAAGGAACAAGACUCCCAUAUUAACAGGUUCCAUCUCUCUGUCUUAUGCUAUUGACUGUCUCUGUCUUAUGCUAUUGUCUGUUUCUGUCUUGGUUUUAAAUUUUGUGACUAAUAGUGACAGCUGAAUGGUCACGUCACUACAUAAGUUGGUUGAUUACACAAGGCUUGGUUUAUUUGUCUCUAAAGUUUCUGGAUUCAACUUCUGAACAAGGUAGUAGUCCACAAGAAGGAUCUUUCUUACGUGAGUUUUUUGUUCCUCUUCUCUCUGUCUCUUUUCUGAUUUCAGUAUCCCAAGUGUGAUCUUAUUUUCUUGCCCUCUGUUAUAUAAUUGGUGUUAUUGAUUGAUUCUUCAUU